UACAGAGGGUGCGAGCGUUAAUCGGAAUUACUGGGCGUAAAGCGUGCGCAGGCGGUUCUGAAAGUCAGCUGUGAAAGCCCCGGGCUUAACCUGGGAAUGGCGGUUGAAACUACAGGACUAGAAUCUGGCAGAGGGGGGUGGAAUUCCACGUGUAGCAGUGAAAUGCGUAGAGAUGUGGAGGAACACCGAUGGCGAAGGCAGCCCCCUGGGCUGAGAUUGACGCUCAGGCACGAAAGCGUGGGGAGCAAACAGG
rnacentral:rRNA from 1 species